rnacentral:pre_miRNA from 1 species
CGGGGUUUUGAGGGCAAGAUGAGUUUUCGUGUUACCCAACUGGCCCACAAAGUCCCGCU